rnacentral:lncRNA from 1 species
UUCUCUUCAAUUCCUGUGCAAUUUGAUCUAUGAUUGAUUGUGUGUACUGCUUACCUCCUUUUUGAUACGAUGACAAAAAGGGGGAGAAAUACUUAAAUACAGAAGGACUCAAAUGAAAAUUAAAGAAAAUUAAAACAUAAUUUGUUCUUAGUGGAUUUGGUACCUCGAGGGUCAUUAUCUCUCUGUUGGGGCUCCUAAUGGAGUAAUCUCCAGAAUCUAUUCAAGGGAUAUUCGGAGAUUAGCUGAAUCCAACUCAAGAACAAAUUGACAGAUUUUCCCUCUAAAAACCAAAAAUUUAAAAUCAAAAAAUUUAAUACAUUAAAAGAAAAUUCAGAGAAUCAAAUCAUAAGUAGAAUGCAUAUGUUGAGGGGGAGAAUCUGAAUAUUUUUAAGAAAGCUAAAUCAUUAAAUAUAUAUAAGCCAAACAAUUGAUUGCAUGAUAUGAAGGCUUAUAUAAUUCCAAA